rnacentral:misc_RNA from 1 species
UCCGGUUUGGCACCGGCAGUCUCCCUAGAGUUCCCGGCAUGACCCGCUGGCAACUAGGGACAAGGGUUGCGCUCGUUGCGCCACUUAAGGCAACACCUCACGGCACGAGCUGACGACAGCCAUGCACCACCUGUGCAGGCUCCGAAGAGCGCCCGCUUUCACGGGUUCCACCCUGCAUGUCAAGCCCAGGUAAGGUUCUUCGCGUCGCAUCGAAUUAAGCAACAUGCUCCGCCGCUUGUGCGGGGCCCCGUCAAUUCCUUUGAGUUUUAGCCUUGCGGCCGUACUCCCCAGGCGGGGUGCUUAAUGCGUUAGCUUCGGCACGGAGGGGGUCGAUGUCCCCCCACACCUAGCACCCAACGUUUACGGCUAGGACUAC